rnacentral:rRNA from 1 species
CCAAGGAAGGCAGCAGGCGCGCAAAUUACCCACUCCCGGCACGGGGAGGUAGUGACGAAAAAUAACGAUACGGGACUCAUCCGAGGCCCCGUAAUCGGAAUGAGAACACUUUAAACCCUUUAACGAGUAUCCAUUGGAGGGCAAGUCUGGUGCCAGCAGCCGCGGUAAUUCCAGCUCCAAUAGCGUAUAUUAAAGUUGUUGCGGUUAAAAAGCUCGUAGUUGGACUUGUGUCCCACGCUGUCGGUUCACCGUUNGUCGGUGUUUAACUGGCAUGCCCGUGUGGACGUCCUGCCGGUGGAUGCGGUCGGCCGUGGGCCUCUGGUCUGCGCGUCGGCGGUCCGAUGCAAUCCUACCGCGGUGCUCUUCACCGAGUGUCGAGGUGGGCCGGCACGUUUACUUUGAACAAAUUAGAGUGCUUAAAGCAGGCAGUGGUUCGCCUGAAUAUUGUGUGCAUGGAAUAAUGGAAUAGGACCUCGGUUCUAUUUUGUUGGCUUCCGGAACUUGAGGUAAUGAUUAAUAGGGACAAACGGGGGCAUUCGUAUUGCGACGUUAGAGGUGAAAUUCUUGGAUCGUCGCAAGACGAACCUAAGCGAAAGCAUUUGCCAUGAGUGUUUUCAUUAAUCAAGAACGAAAGUUAGAGGUUCGAAGGCGAUCAGAUACCGCCCUAGUUCUAACCAUAAACGAUGCCAGCUAGCGAUCCGCCGAAGUUCCUCCGAUGACUCGGCGGGCAGCUUCCGGGAAACCAAAGCUUUUGGGUUCCGGGGGAAGUAUGGUUGCAAAGCUGAAACUUAAAGGAAUUGACGGAAGGGCACCACCAGGAGUGGAGCCUGCGGCUUAAUUUGACUCAACACGGGAAACCUCACCAGGCCCGGACACCGGAAGGAUUGACAGAUUGAGAGCUCUUUCUUGAUUCGGUGGGUGGUGGUGCAUGGCCGUUCUUAGUUGGUGGAGCGAUUUGUCUGG